rnacentral:rRNA from 1 species
AGGCGCGCAAAUUACCCACUCCCGGCACGGGGAGGUAGUGACGAAAAAUAACGAUACGGGACUCAUCCGAGGCCCCGUAAUCGGAAUGAGAACAAUUUAAAUCCUUUAACGAGGAUCAAUUGGAGGGCAAGUCUGGUGCCAGCAGCCGCGGUAAUUCCAGCUCCAAUAGCGUAUAUUAAAGUUGUUGCGGUUAAAAAGCUCGUAGUCGAAUCUGUGUCCCGCGCCGCCGGUUCGUCGCUCGCGGCGUUUAACUGGCGUGUCCGCGGGACGUCCUGCCGGUGGGCUUAGCCUUUUCAUUAAGGCGGCCCAAUCUUAAUCCCGCCGCGGUGCUCUUCACCGAGUGUCGAGGCGGGCCGGCACGUUUACUUUGAACAAAUUAGAGUGCUUAAAGCAGGCUAAAACUUCGCCUGAAUACUUCGUGCAUGGAAUAAUGGAAUAGGACCUCGGUUCUAUUUUGUUGGUUUUCGGAACCCCGAGGUAAUGAUUAAUAGGAACGGAUGGGGGCAUUCGUAUUGCGACGUUAGAGGUGAAAUUCUUGGAUCGUCGCAAGACGGACAGAAGCGAAAGCAUUUGCCAAAAACGUUUUCAUUGAUCAAGAACGAAAGUUAGAGGUUCGAAGGCGAUCAGAUACCGCCCUAGUUCUAACCAUAAACGAUGCCAGCUAGCGAUCCGCCGACGUUCCUCCGAUGACUCGGCGGGCAGCUUCCGGGAAACCAAAGCUUUUGGGUUCCGGGGGAAGUAUGGUUGCAAAGCUGAAACUUAAAGGAAUUGACGGAAGGGCACCACCAGGAGUGGAGCCUGCGGCUUAAUUUGACUCAACACGGGAAACCUCACCAGGCCCGGACACCGGAAGGAUUGACAGAUUGAGAGCUCUUUCUUGAUUCGGUGGGUGGUGGUGCAUGGCCGUUCUUAGUUGGUGGAGCGAUUUGUCUGGUUAAUUCCGAUAACGAACGAGACUCUGGCCUGCUAACUAGGCGUAUUUCCGACAUCUCGAAGGCCCGCCGGCCUGGUGUGCUCGUCACGCCUUGUCGCGCGCGGUUUUUACUGUCGGCGUACAAACAAUUCUUCUUAGAGGGACAGGCGGCGUCUAGCCGCACGAGAUAGAGCAAUAACAGGUCUGUGAUGCCCUUAGAUGUUCUGGGCCGCACGCGCGCUACACUGAAGGAAUCAGCGUGUCCUCCCUGGCCGAGCGGCCCGGGUAACCCGCUGAACCUCCUUCGUGCUAGGGAUUGGGGCUUGAAAUUGUUCCCCAUGAACGAGGAAUUCCCAGUAAGCGCGAGUCAUAAGCUCGCGUUGAUUACGUCCCUGCCCUUUGUACACACCGCCCGUCGCUACUACCGAUUGAAUGAUUUAGUGAGGUCUUCGGACCGGCACGCGGUGGCGUUUCGACGUCGCCGAUGCUGCUGGAAAGAUGACCAAACUUGAUCAUUU